UUGUGAAAAGGGGAAUGAUUAGUUUGAUCGCCGAGAUAAUGGCACCUUUAAGUAUUAGCUCUAUUUGAUCAUUC